UAGGACUAUGGCAUUUAAAUAAGAUAUUGAAAAUGCAGAGUAACCGUCAUCAUGCUAGAAUACAUCCAACUAUGGGAUUUAGAAAUUAAAGAUUUCCUGUUGUGUUCUUACAGUGCCAUACAACAUCUAGAUUCAGUAGGCAGGCUAAACAGAACUGGGACACUGAACUUCAUCAGGAUGUUGUUUUUGCAGUGAAAAAUUCUGGUCGGUAGCAAAGACAGUGCAGACACUGAAGAUCCACAAGGAAGCAGAAGUCUCUAGCAGUGGCAUUUGGAAAGCUCCAAGAAUCACAAGACUUGCUGCAGAAGACUUAACACGACAUUGUUAUAGAAAUAUAUAGCACUCCAGCCAACACAUCCCUCAUACUCUUGGUGAUGUCUGCCUUGUGAUCAGCCUCUACCUUGAGCAGGUCAUAUCUGUGAGACAGCUCUUGAGAGACAGCAUCUUUUGUCUAUGUGCGAGCAUCGACACGACAUCUAGAAGCUAUGGCUACAUUUCUAGGAUCAAACUGAAUCCCUUAAGUGUGGUAAUAAGCCAUUGCUUAUCCAAAUGACCUCUGUUUGCAAUACAAACAAUCAACAUUAACAACAAAUAAAGACAAUGCAUUUCCUUGGCUGCCUC
ensembl:lncRNA